UUAAUCUGUCCAUUCUGGAUUAAAUUCUAUAUUUUCGCUGUCCACUUUUCUUUUUUUGGAGAGCGCCAUUUGUUCUUUAUUCUCCCUUUCUCCGUCUCACUCGUCUGUUUCUCUCCCUUUCUCCGUCUCACUCGUCUGUUUCUCUCCCUUUCUCCGUCUCACUCGUCUGUUUCUCUCCCUUUCUCCGUCUCACUCGUCUGUUUCUCUCCCUUUCUCCGUCUCACUCGUCUGUUUCUCUCCUUUUGUUUCCUACAUGUAUCGCUAUCUUUCUUUCAUGUGUAACUUUACUUUAAUUCUCUCUCAUCUGUCUUGCGCUGUUGAGUCGCAGUGUUUACUUCAGGAAUGCACGGACUUGAUUGGCUGAGUCGUAUCACGUGGGAUGGUUUAACUCGUAUGCAAUUGGAAAAAAAAUCCUCUUCCUCGUCUCCGUGGAGUUUCAUUUUACCGGUACAACCAUUACAUCAGAUCUCUUAAAGGCUAUUAAUUACAAUUUAAUGAGAGAGACAGAAGUGACAGUGGUGAGGAAAACACUGAGAAACCUUGAGAGGAACCAGAGUCAACAGGAAACAUCCUCAUCUGGGGGAUCCGGCAGAGCAGCGUGAUGUAUUAUAGAUUUGAGAAAUAUUCCUUUCUGCCAAAGCCAUCAAAUGUUCGAUGAAGGAGAUAGGAGCGCAAGACCGACCACGCCAACAGCAGUUGCCACUGCCAUGGUCUCCACAGCAGUCCCAAAUAUCUCCAGGACAUCCAGGUGGGCCAAGCUCAGAGCAUCAGUGAGCAACACCAAGUGAACAACCAGAAGUAUGUCAUCAGGAAGCAGCAGGCAGAAGACAAUGUAUAUUAUGUGCAAAGUGCAGGCAGGGACCCUGGCAAGACUAGCUAUGACAGCAUAGCUACAAAAUGUUGAAGAACAUGAUGCAGACAUGAGGGCUUCCCGGGACAUCAAGCGGCCAUCCACUCCACCAUUAACAAAACACAAAAGCAAUAGCAUGGGAUGUAAAGCAUUGGCAUCUAGUUCCAACUCACACUCCCAGUGUUCCAGAGAUUGACUCUGGAUCUGCAACUCUGAACAGGAUAAAGCUUCUUUCUUUGUGGAAAAUCUGUCACUAUAUAGAAAUAGUAUAUAUUACAUAAGAUAAUGGUACACAAUAUAAAAUCUUUGUAUUACCCCUUCUAACCUUUCCUUUUUCAGUUCUAGUUGAAUGAUCAGUAAAUGGCUAUAGUUUCUAAUCAUGUGAAUGGACUGAGCCUCUUUCCAUAGACAUUUUUUUCCUAAUGUCCUCUUGGGCACUUGGCAUCAUUCCCAUUUUUCUGGCAUUGGCUCUCAAUCCAGUCCUCAGGCUCUUACAGAUGGCAAAAAAUUUUUUGGUCUAUCCCAGUUCCCUCAACACGAGUGUAUUAUUGAAAGUAUUUGUGAACGAGUCUGUGAACAUCUGAUCAUCACACCCAAUAUGGUUCCUCCCCUUUGAGCACACAAUUGUAUCUAAUGUCUGUAUCCUGUAACAGUUACAGUUUCCCUUUACUGGAGCUCAGAGACUCGAACCCUGUUCCAUCAUGACAAUGAACUCGAGUGUCCUUCACUGAGCCCUGACUCUGACUCAACACCACUGAACACUUUUGUGAUGAACUGGAACACAGACUGAACCCCAGACCUCCUCACUCUUACAUCAUCAGUGUCUGAUGCUCUUGUAGCUGAAUGAACACAAAUGCACACAGUCCACUCCAGCAUCAAGAGGAAAACCUUCAUAGAAGAAUGGAGAGCGUUAUUAAAAGCACAAAGAGAAUACAUCUAGAAUGGUGAGGUGUCUGUGUAUGUUUCCUCCCGUUUUCCCAAAAAAUAUGCCACUAGGUUAAAUAGCUACUACCUAAAUUUCACCUAGUAAUGUGUGUGUGUGUGCGUGUGCGCGUGAGUGUGUGAAGGUGUGCGUGCAUGGUGGUCUGCAAUAGACUGGCAUCCCACUCAGGGAGUAUUUCCACCACGCCCAGAGUUCCCAGAAUAGGCUGCGGAUCCACCACGUCUCUGACCAGGAUUAAGUGGUUACAGAAAAUGAAUGAAUGAAAUUACAUGAAGAUGGCAUGGGCCUCAGUACUGCAACCACACUACUAUUCCUGUCACUGCUUAAAGGCUGAA